rnacentral:rRNA from 1 species
AUUGAACGCUGGCGGCAGGCCUAACACAUGCCAGUCGAACGGUAACAGGAAGCAGCUUGCUGCUUUGCUGACGAGUGGCGGACGGGUGAGUAAUGUCUGGGAAACUGCCCGAUGGAGGGGGAUAACUACUGGAAACGGUAGCUACUACCGCAUAACGUCGCAAGACCAAAGAGGGGGACCUUAGGGCCUCUUGCCAUCGGAUGUGCCCAGAUGGGAUUAGCUAGUAGGUGGGGUAACGGCUCACCUAGGCGACGAUCCCUAGCUGGUCUGAGAGGAUGACCAGCCACACUGGAACUGAGACACGGUCCAGACUCCUACGGGAGGCAGCAGUGGGGAAUAUUGCACAAUGGGCGCAAGCCUGAUGCAGCCAUGCCGCGUGUAUGAAGAAGGCCUUCGGGUUGUAAAGUACUUUCAGCGGGGAGGAAGGGAGUAAAGUUAAUACCUUUGCUCAUUGACGUUACCCGCAGAAGAAGCACCGGCUAACUCCGUG